rnacentral:tRNA from 1 species
AGGGAUUUAGGUUAAUAUAGACCAAGAGCCUUCAAAGCCCUCAGUGGGAGCUAAAAUCUCUCAAUCCCUG